GUGGAGCAUGUGGUUUAAUUCGAUCAACGCGAAGAACCUUACCAGGGUUUGACAUGAUACGAAUUUCUUUGAAAGAAGAAAGUGCCUUUUGGAACGUAUACACAGGUGGUGCAUGGCUGUCGUCAGCUCGUGUUGUGAAAUGUUGGGUUAAGUCCCGUAACGAGCGCAACCCUUGUCCUUAUUUGCCAGCACGUAAUGGUGGGAACUCUAAGGAGACUGCCGGUGACAAGCCGGAGGAAGGUGGGGACGA
rnacentral:rRNA from 1 species